UAAAAGACGUUGAAGAGAAGAGUAGCUCGAGCAGCCAAUUUAAAGAGAACGCGAGUGGGUGAAAGCGCGUAUUGGUCAGUCGAGUGAAGAUGAGCUCAGAGUCUGUUGGCUGUGCAAGCAGCGACACGGAACGGGACCGUUACUACCUGCGACUUUUGUUAGAACAGAAGUUAGUAAGAUAGUCAGUGUGAAUUGGCUAUAAAAAAGGCGGUACCGCGCACAAGCGUCCUUUCA
rnacentral:ncRNA from 1 species